CGUCAGUAUAUCGUCGCAAACAGGUGUGUAACUAACACCCUCUUUCUUAGUCUAGAUCGGUAAAAGUCGAAAAGCUGAAAUGCCGAAAACCGGUAUUUUGUAGAUUUGCGAGUGUGCGAAUGCUCGUGAGGAAAUCCCCAACCAUAGUGGGCUUGGAGCUGUGAAGGUAUUUGGAGUGGCCACCCGUUUUGAAAGUUUGAUUUUCUUCUGGUGAACUGGACAUCCUUUUAAUUACGUUUGAGGUUUUGGGCUUUUAAAUGUAAUAAGGCCGCUUAUUUAUUUUUGAUGGUUUUUAAUAUGUAUUACUAAGAUAGGUAUUACUUAUUUUAACUGUUGAAAUUGGAUAGCUUUAGGGCGCGUUUUCAAAAACAA